AUCAUAUCUACAUUCUAGUCUUAUAAAUCAAAUAUAAUCAGAUUCUGUUCGAUGGGUGAUGGGUCCAUCAGGAUCGAUUGUUACUUUUCCUGAUACAGUUGGUUUACCAACCAUAUUUGACCCCAAGCCUUGCAGUUACCCUCCUCCCCGUGAGAAGUGCGCCGGACCAUUUUGUACAGACCCAUACAAGUACAGGGAUUCCCAAUCAAAGCUCCCUCUCUGCAGUCUCCAGUGCUGCAAGGCAGUUCACGAAAAGAUGCCUUCUCUAUCUGCCUGUUAAUUCAGUGAAUUCGGUUUUGCAGCGAAUCUCAUAUGUUGUGGAUAUUCCUGCAGCGAAUCUCAUAUGUACUCUUAAUUUAAUAGAUGUAGUCUUUCUAAAAACCAAAUAUGUAUAUACACUGUAACGUCAUGAAGAUUGAAGUGAUUUUAGCACAGUUACACACAUGAUAUGAAUAAUAAAUAAUGAAUAAAACUAGUAUUACAUCCAACAUG